rnacentral:rRNA from 1 species
UACGGAGGGGGCUAGCGUUGUUCGGAAUUACUGGGCGUAAAGCGCACGUAGGCGGGCGGUCAAGUCGGGGGUGAAAUCCCGGGGCUCAACCCCGGAACUGCCUUCGAUACUGGACGUCUGGAGGCCGGGAGAGGUGGGCGGAAUUCCGAGUGUAGAGGUGAAAUUCGUAGAUAUUCGGAGGAACACCAGUGGCGAAGGCGGCUCACUGGCCCGGUACUGACGCUGAGGUGCGAAAGCGUGGGGAGCAAAC